AAAGAGUGCUUUACCGAAACACAGUAUGCAUCGGAGGCAGAAAAUUUAUUCAAGCUCUGAAGUCCCAAACAACUGAAAAUGCUCCAAAACACCAUCACGUGACCCUGGUAUUCUCAAAGUGCUGGUGAAAUAGCAGACACUACAUCUGCCUAUGAGCAAUGGACAGAACUGAGAAUACCAUAUCAUGAACCGUAGUGAACACUGCUAGCAACAUCCUGUUUUAGUAAGUAUAAUUGAAUCCCCAAUUAUAAUGUCAUUGUACAUACAAAAAAUGACAUAGUGUUGUUUUUAAAAAGUGAUCUGUUUGGCAGUGUUUUAUAUAUUGUAUAUUUUUCUUUUCACUUUGUCUACUGGCCUGCAUUUGUCCUUGUCAUUUUCCUGUUAUUUCUGAUACAUUCCAAAAUAAGAUUUGUCUGUACAGUACCAGCACACUUUAAUAAGGACUAAGAGCAAAUGUGCCUAUUUCUCAGUGUUUUAGACAAUUUGUGUUGUACCCAAAUAGAGGGAAUAUUGUUACUGUAGUUCUUGUCAUUGUCUUGGUGGCAAGUGCCACAUUAUCAUGGGCACUACUUCAGCAUGUUUAGUUAUACACAUUUACCAGUGAAGAUCAGGGUCAGAAUAGGUCUUCAGCAAACCAUGCUUGCUUUAAGAGGCGACUAUCCUUGUCAUAAGAGGCAACUUACAUGAUUGAGGGGUCAGGCUCAGAGACCAUGUUGAUGCAUGUCAUCGUAUCCCAUUUGCAUGGAUUGAUGCUCAUGAUGUCAAUUACUGGAUUGUCAGGUCCAUAUUUGAUUAUUUACAGGCAGCUGUCAAAGCACGAAUAUUGCUUAGUACAGCAUUAAACAACAAACAAACAAAGUUAUACAGUUCAAUUUUUUAAAUAAUCUUAUACUCUAGUAUUAUAAUGUGCUAUUUUUAUUGAUUAUUAUGAAUACAGACUGUUUGUAUCAGUUUGUAAGAGACACAAACCAAGGUUCCAACAACUAUCUGCACAUGCUUUGUCGUAACACAAUUAAUAUGGUAUCUUCAGGUUAUGUAUGUUUGUAAAAUGUGCUAGAAAGUGUCCACUUUAGUUGUAAAAUCAGUAUCUUCCUCACAACAGAGCUAAUGUGCACUACCUUGUUGUGGUAUUUUUUGUUGAACUCGUCUCUGUCUUUCUCAAGUUAUGUUUGUGCACGGUGCCUACCUGGUGUAUUGAUAAUAUUACCUGACAAGAGUCAAGUUUGCUCAUCAUAUUCUGAAAUAAGUGUCUCCAAUCUAAUAGAAAUGGGAAAAGUAAUACAAGCGAGUCACCAUCAUUUUAACCGGUGCUAGGGAUGUCAGCAUAAAGUAUAUGUUUUUUUAUUAAUAUUAUAAAUAUUAAAACUCUUUGCACCUGGAUUGGAAGAAUUGAACAUUAUAAGAAAACUGCUAUGUUCCUUUUCAGCUGACAGGCUGUUUGUGGAAGAUGUAAGGUCAAGUGCUAGCCCCCUGUUUAGUUUAGACCUACAUUGUAAAUGUUGUGCACUGGACCAUGGAGCCUGGUCACUACAGGGUUUACCCAAACCUCUUAAAACUGGGGACAAAUUCAAUUUCUAAUCUUAAAAAUAUCAUCUUGAUUCUCUAAUCAUACUGUUAAAAUUAUGUUUUACGUACUUAUCUUAUCUCUGUGGAAUUCCUAAUCCAAUUAAAUAGUAAUGUCCAAUAUUUUUUAAUAUAUUUGCAGAUAACAAAUUGCUAUAGACUAAUAAGGCAACUGCUAUAUUAUAUUCUGACUCUUUACUGGACUCACCAGACUCUGCACUGUAUACUACUGAACACAAUGAAGUAUCAACGUCUUUUCAUUUCGGAAUUCAAGUAGCAAGCGGUAGCCUGUUGUCUGGUACUUUAAAGUAUACUAUAAUGCAUGUACUAAUUCUUUAUACUGUAAACACAUAACAUGUUUUGCUUGAGCAAUUCUUCCUGAAAAGCCCCCAAGUUUGAAACGCAAUUUAGUUACAUUGUGCUCGAUGUAGUAAGUCCAAUUAAUAAUAGUCAAUAUGUCAACACUAAAAUCCUGUUCGGGCUAGUUGACCCAUCAUUUUGGGGCACAGGCUGCUCAUGUAAUUCAAUAUAUGGUGACAAUGUUGCACAAGGUUCUGUUGUGUGUAUUUCAAUAACUUGCACAUUUAUGAACUUUAACCUUAAUGUAAUCCUUGAAUCCAGUGAUGCUUUAUUUUUACAUUUCUUUAAUAACCUACAAUUGUUAUGAAGCUGUCAUUUUUUGUGUGGUUCCAGGAAUAAAGUCACCAGAAAUGUAUUCAAAAAUUUUAUCUGAUUUUGAGCAUGACGAACAUGGCAGAUAUGUUUAAAAUGUUGUUUUUUUCCACUACUCAGAUAUUUAAGUUAUUGUACAGUAAGUCGUCUGUAGUGUACUCUGUGCUAGUAGUAGGUAAUAUUUCCUGGAUCGGGUGAUAAUAGAGGGACGGCCCUCCCCAACAGUUUAUCAUAAACCAUCAGCGCUACGGUCUGGCAUGUAACUGAUACACCCCGACACCCUGCUGUUAACCUCCCUGUACCGCUGCAGAUGCGCAAUAGAUGCGCAGACAUUCACGACUGACCAUUCUGGUAACCACGUAAACAAUAUUACAUAAUAUCCGGGGUAAGAGUUAAUUCCCUUAGCCGAGAUUUCUCCGACUACGACCAGCGACAAUCCAAUAAAAGGACGUCUCUUAGCGGAUUACAAUGAUUCUUUUUAUGAUAUCUCUCACUAGCACAUGUCAGUUGGCUGCAAAUUAUUUGCUGAACAUGUGUGUCUUCCGGGACAUUUAUUUUCAAUUUACAUUCGCUACAGCCAUGGACGACUUCAUUCACUUGGACGAUUUCGUUUUGGACCUAGAUAUGCCACUUGAAGAAUUCCCUCUCUUCGACCAGGGGUUGGUUUCGGAUGACUCUUGGUCUAAAUAGAAUGACAGUAAUGUUACCGCUACCAAGCCGUUGGUAAUACCUCCCCAAAAGUUUCACUCAAAGAAAAAGAUAGGAAAUGAAAAUAUGACGUCUGUCCACAAGCGUAAGUUUUCGAGGGCGUGUGAAGAAAAAGCCGUUCCGAUAUCAAAAGUAUUUUAUAACGUAUUCUAUUUGUUUUAAAAAUCAGUUAACAUAUCUCAUUUUAUGCUGCAAUUGUUAACUAUUAUAAAUAAACAAAUAUACCAAAUCUACUACGAACGCCACAGAAAACUACGAUCCGGUAAAUUGCACAGGAACUCAGGAAGUGUAAAUAAAACUCAUCCAGAAGCAGGGAAAACACUUGUAACAUAUCACCAUAUUCCCGAUGUUCACAAAAUAUAUCUCCAGAUUAACUUCAUAUCUUAUAAUAAGUCCAGACUAGAUUUACUUGCAAAAAUGCAUGAUCACCGACUGGUGUAAAUGCUUUACUAUUAGCCAGAAAAAAAAUGACGCCAUAUUAAUGUUUUUAUUUCAUGUAAAUUCGCUACUAUUUUAUAAUGCUAAUAGUUCCAAUGAAUUAAAAAUACACCUUAAACUACGAGCGUUGUUAAAUGAAUUUUCGAUGUGUCCGACAAUGGGCUUCGAAAGAAUCAAAUGUUAUUGGUUAAUGCCAGUUUGGGGCUAUAGCAGUGAUAAUGGGGUUUGCCGGAGCGAGGUAAGUUUUUUUUCAAAGGGAGGCUACUGUUAAAUUCCAAAGCAAAGAGGACGAUUGUAAUUUUACAAUCGUUAUUCGAUAUUACCCGAUUAGAUUGAUAUUUCAGCAUACAAAUAAUUAGGUAUUUCAGGUAUAACAAUAUAGCUUCAACGAGCAUGGUACCAGAUAUGUACUAGUAUAUCGUAAACUGUAGUAACGUUUGUUGUUUUCAAAAUCCUUUCAUCAUAGUUUUCUAUAUCUGAUCAAUGAAAAACAAACUUUAAACUCUAACCAGGAACGAAGCAUGCAACUAUUACUAUUAAAACAAAACAAACUCUGACAUAUGUAAAUGUAUUUUUCACAGAAAAGGACAAUAGACCAUUUAUAUAUUUUACUGAAUGACACCUUCGACCUUGUUGUCUGGAACUUCUCUCCCGACGACUGCCGAUAUAAUCCUUCUUCUUUCUUGGCAUUUACAAAGCAAAUGAUAAUUUUAUUAUACAAAUAUUUCGUGUAACGGAUUUUUAUUUUUGUAUGAUGUUUUCAUUGUUGUGUAAAUACACAAAGUAAGUAGUACCUUCAUCAUAUUUAUAUUAUUAUGAUUGGGUUUAGGCCAAUAUCAUUUUGCUCAUAAUCAAUAUUUACACGGCAUAAAAUAAAUAAUUGAUUAAAUGUAGUCAUGAUUUAUACAGACAAAAUCUACAGAAGAUAACAAAUAUGCAGUAUUGUAGUAUGUAGUAUAUGCGCGAUAUGUGAUAGAAGCCUAACUGAAACAAUGUUAAACUUACGAGGAAAUGGCGAAAGCAAUGGUAAAAAAAAUAUGCAUUUUACAAAAAAAUUCUAAUAUCAUACAAUAUAAGUCACUUUGUAGAAUGUUUCAAAGGAUAUAUGCGGAUGAUAAUCACAGACAAAAUGCAUGUUAUGUCGUCUGCUAUAUGGUAAUUUAACUUAAAAUAUGUGACGUAAAAUAUGGCCUUGCGCCAAAAAUCAUAC